rnacentral:rRNA from 1 species
UACGGAGGAUCCAAGCGUUGUCCGGAUUUAUUGGGUUUAAAGGGUGCGUAGGCGGAUUACUAAGUCAGGGGUGAAAGUUUGCAGCUUAACUGUAAAAUUGCCUUUGAAACUGGUAAUCUUGAGUAUAGUUGAGGUGGGCGGAAUGUGUCAUGUAGCGGUGAAAUGCUUAGAUAUGAUACAGAACACCGAUUGCGAAGGCAGCUCACUAAACUAUAACUGACGCUGAGGCACGAAAGCGUGGGGAGCAAACAGG